ACACAGAACUGGUGCCUGUUGCCAUGGUGUGAGCUGAGGCUCUGGGACUCCAUCCAGGAUUCAGGAUCUGGCCCAGCAGAUGGACAACUGCUGCCAACUGGACACAGUCAGCUUCUUGGGUGGGUAAAACUGUCUGUGGGAGAGGGAGGAUGGGGCAUGCAAUACAUAAUGGAUCUUUGGGCAAUACCAGCUUUGUUUUUUGCCCCGUACAUAGGCCAUCAGACCAUUACAGUAGCCGUGGAAACCCUUUUCGAAGUCAACCUUGGGAAAGUCGAUGUGUAAGGUACGGAAGUUCUUGAUGGCAAGCUGGAGCUUGAAGUUUUCAACCAAAGCUGGCCCUAGAACAAGCUGGAGGAACAGGAGCUGGGCCAUGGCUGGUACCAUUCCUCCUGCUGGCAGAGUUAAGGUGAUUGGCGGCAGAAGUGCACCUGGACUGGCUGGCUGCCCCUUCCCAGAGCCUCCAGUGUGCCCCAGCCUUCCCCAUGUACUUUCCCCUAUGCUCUCAAAGCCAGACUCUCCCUCAGAGAUCAUCCAGCCCAGGUCCUCAUGCCUCAGAGAGAAGAGACAUUUGCCCCAAGGUCAUCCAGCUGGUCAGCACCUCCAGCCAUCCCUCCUCUCUCUUGGUUACCUUAGGGUCUCAGCCUCACCCAGUCCAGGAACUGUAACACUCACAGAAUAAGAGGUCCAACUGGCCCUUGGGUGCAAGGCUCUUCCUGGUUAUCCCUGGCCAGGUUAAUCCUCCUGGUGAAAAUGCAGAUGGUCCAGAAGGAACGGCUCAGCUACACUUCUCUGACUGAGGCUGAGGAAGGACAGUAGCUGGACGGUGGCAGGGCAGGGGUAGGGACUCUUCUUGCUUGAGGCCAAGGAUGGCCCAAAGGUGAGAAGAGGCUAGAAAGGUUUUUGGAUAAAGACCAGUCUGAGAGGAGGGAGUGUCACCUGUGCUGAGGGGGUUGGAUGAGGGGGAGGAAAGAGACAUUGCUUUCUGGUCUCCUCCCCUCUGGUGUCAUCAGAACAUUUAGUUCCAACCUCCCCGCCAGAAGUCCCGAAGUUCUUGGGAUUCCUUUGAUGUCUUCUCUGGUUCAGAGGCCCUGCACCUUCAGAAAGGUGACAAGGAAAGCACUGUCUUGUUUCCAAGGAACAAAGUGCUGCUUAUUCCUGACCAUCAGAGAAUGGAGGGUCUGCCACUCUCUCAUCCCAGUCACAGGAGCCCAAGAGGCCAUGUAGACGAGGGCCUCCCACCUGAGUGCUGGGCUGACAAUCAAAGACCGCCAUGUGGCCCUCCAGCCCAACCAUCCACAUCAUCAAUUUCACUCUAAUCAUGAUCACACCAACACACUCACAUGAAACCUCAGGCCCUCUCAGAGUCAGAGCACUCCUGGGAAAUCUGUGCAUGACCCCAAAGCCUCAAACUUGUCAGGUUAAGAUUAGACAGCAUAGGAGUUCCCGUCGUGGCUCAUCAGAAACAAAUCUGACUAGUAUCCAUGAGGACUCAGGUUCAGUCCCUGGCCUGCCUCAGUGGGUUAAGGAUCUAGCAUUGCCUCAAGCUCUGGUGUAGGUGGAAGAUGGGGCUCAGAUCCCACAUUGCUGUGGCUGUGGCGUAGGCCAGCUCUACAACUCUGAUUCAACCCCUAGCCUGGGAACUUCCAUAUGCUGUGGGUAUGGCUCUAAAUAGCACCCCCCCCCAAAAAAAUAGCAUAGCCUGGAACUGUCUGAACCCAGCAUAUCAGAUUCUGGUAGUGUGUCAUGUUGGGAAAAGGGCUAAGUUCCUAACCCUUUUUCAUCAACACCUGCUCCUUCAUCAGAACCAAAGAGCUAGCUCCCUAGAGCCUACCAGCCACAGUCCUUGACUUCUUGGCUGUCUCCACCUUGCAGAUGUUGUCCAGGCUGUGGGCUUAGGACAGCUUACCACUGUCUCCCUGGAGAGCUGCAGAGGGGAGUCAGACCAGAGAACCCUGCGUGUGUAGUUCCAAGGCCAGUGUGUAGUUCAGGAGGGGUAGAGGGGAGCAGAGAGAAACACAUGAGUGCUCUCAUUCGCAGCCCCCUUAAACUUGUUCUUUCUGAGGCACAAACUAAAGUCCCAAACUGAACCCACCCUUCCCCAUCUUGCUUUCCCUUUUGUGUUGUCUGUUUCUUCAGUUACCUAUGCAAGAAAUCCAAGAGUGGUCAUCCACCCUGCCCUGUGCCUAACCUCACUUGUUCCAGGUCUUUACUACAUGAUGGUUAAGAGCAAACUUUGGGGAGUUCUCAGGUGGCACAGCAGGUCAAGGAGCCAGCGUUGUUACUGUUGUAACUUGCGUGGCUACUGUGGCACAGGUUUGAUCCCUGGCCCUGGAAUUUCUGCAAUUAAAAAAAAAAAAAAAUAGAAAGUUUUGAGGAGUUCCCGUCGUGGCGCAGUGGUUAAUGAAUCCGACUAGGAACCAUGAGGAUGCAGGUUCAAUCCCUGGCCUUUCUCAGUGAGUUAAGGAUCCGGCGUUGCCGUGAACUGUGGUGUAGGUUGCAGACACGGCUUGAAUACGGCGUUGCUGUGGCUCUGGCGUAGGCCGGCAGCUACAGCUCUGAUUCAACCCCUAGCCUGGGAACCUCCAAAUGCCGUGGGAGCGG
rnacentral:lncRNA from 1 species